CCCUUUGGGGUGUGACUGCGUACCUUUUGUAUAAUGGGUCAGCGACUUAUAUUCUGUAGCAAGGUUAACCGUAUAGGGGAGCCGGAGGGAAACCGAGUCUUAAUUGGGCGUUAAGUUGCAGGGUAUAGACCCGAAACCCGGUGAUCUAGCCAUGGGCAGGUUGAAGGUUGGGUAACACUAACUGGAGGACCGAACCGACUAAUGUUGAAAAAUUAGCGGAUGACCUGUGGCUGGGGGUGAAAGGCCAAUCAAACCGGGAGAUAGCUGGUUCUCCCCGAAAGCUAUUUAGGUAGCGCCUCGUGAAUUCAUCUCCGGGGGUAGAGCACUGUUUCGGCUAGGGGGCCAUCCCGGCUUACCAACCCGAUGCAAACUGCGAAUACCGGAGAAUGUUAUCACGGGAGACACACGGCGGGUGCUAACGUCCGUCGUGAAGAGGGAAACAACCCAGACCGCCAGCUAAGGUCCCAAAGUCAUGGUUAAGUGGGAAACGAUGUGGGAAGGCCCAGACAGCCAGGAUGUUGGCUUAGAAGCAGCCAUCAUUUAAAGAAAGCGUAAUAGCUCACUGGUCGAGUCGGCCUGCGCGGAAGAUGUAACGGGGCUAAACCAUGCACCGAAGCUGCGGCAGCGACGCUUAUGCGUUGUUGGGUAGGGGAGCGUUCUGUAAGCCUGUGAAGGUGGCCUGUGAGGGUUGCUGGAGGUAUCAGAAGUGCGAAUGCUGACAUAAGUAACGAUAAAGCGGGUGAAAAGCCCGCUCGCCGGAAGACCAAGGGUUCCUGUCCAACGUUAAUCGGGGCAGGGUGAGUCGACCCCUAAGGCGAGGCCGAAAGGCGUAGUCGAUGGGAAACGGGUUAAUAUUCCCGUACUUGGUGUUACUGCGAAGGGGGGACGGAGAAGGCUAUGUUGGCCGGGCGACGGUUGUCCCGGUUUAAGCGUGUAGGUGUGUGUUCCAGGUAAAUCCGGUUCACUUUAACACUGAGGCGUGACGACGAGGCACUACGGUGCUGAAGCAACAAAUGCCCUGCUUCCAGGAAAAGCCUCUAAGCAUCAGGUAACAUCAAAUCGUACCCCAAACCGACACAGGUGGUCAGGUAGAGAAUACCAAGGCGCUUGAGAGAACUCGGGUGAAGGAACUAGGCAAAAUGGUGCCGUAACUUCGGGAGAAGGCACGCUGACACGUAGGUGAAGUGAUUUACUCACGGAGCUGAAGUCAGUCGAAGAUACCAGCUGGCUGCAACUGUUUAUUAAAAACACAGCACUGUGCAAACACGAAAGUGGACGUAUACGGUGUGACGCCUGCCCGGUGCCGGAAGGUUAAUUGAUGGGGUCAGCGCAAGCGAAGCUCCUGAUCGAAGCCCCGGUAAACGGCGGCCGUAACUAUAACGGUCCUAAGGUAGCGAAAUUCCUUGUCGGGUAAGUUCCGACCUGCACGAAUGGCGUAAUGAUGGCCAGGCUGUCUCCACCCGAGACUCAGUGAAAUUGAACUCGCUGUGAAGAUGCAGUGUACCCGCGGCAAGACGGAAAGACCCCGUGAACCUUUACUAUAGCUUGACACUGAACAUUGAGCCUUGAUGUGUAGGAUAGGUGGGAGGCUUUGAAGCGUGGACGCCAGUCUGCGUGGAGCCGACCUUGAAAUACCACCCUUUAAUGUUUGAUGUUCUAACGUGGACCCGUGAUCCGGGUUGCGGACAGUGUCUGGUGGGUAGUUUGACUGGGGCGGUCUCCUCCUAAAGAGUAACGGAGGAGCACGAAGGUUGGCUAAUCCUGGUCGGACAUCAGGAGGUUAGUGCAAUGGCAUAAGCCAGCUUGACUGCGAGCGUGACGGCGCGAGCAGGUGCGAAAGCAGGUCAUAGUGAUCCGGUGGUUCUGAAUGGAAGGGCCAUCGCUCAACGGAUAAAAGGUACUCCGGGGAUAACAGGCUGAUACCGCCCAAGAGUUCAUAUCGACGGCGGUGUUUGGCACCUCGAUGUCGGCUCAUCACAUCCUGGGGCUGAAGUAGGUCCCAAGGGUAUGGCUGUUCGCCAUUUAAAGUGGUACGCGAGCUGGGUUUAGAACGUCGUGAGACAGUUCGGUCCCUAUCUGCCGUGGGCGCUGGAGAACUGAGGGGGGCUGCUCCUAGUACGAGAGGACCGGAGUGGACGCAUCACUGGUGUUCGGGUUGUCAUGCCAAUGGCACUGCCCGGUAGCUAAAUGCGGAAGAGAUAAGUGCUGAAAGCAUCUAAGCACGAAACUUGCCCCGA
rnacentral:rRNA from 1 species